rnacentral:rRNA from 1 species
CAGUCGCCGCGGUAAUACGGAGGGUGCAAGCGUUAAUCGGAAUUACUGGGCGUAAAGCGCACGCAGGCGGUUUGUUAAGACAGAUGUGAAAUCCCCGGGCUCAACCUGGGAACUGCAUUUGUGACUGGCAAGCUAGAGUCUGUCAGAGGAUGGUGGAAUUCCCGGUGUAGCGGUGAAAUGCGUAGAGAUCGGGAGGAACAUCAGUGGCGAAGGCGGCCAUCUGGGACAACACUGACGCUGAAGCACGAAAGCGUGGGGAGCAAACAGGAUUAGAUACCCCGGUAGUCCCUGUCUCUUAUAA